UACGUAGGGUGCAAGCGUUGUCCGGAAUUAUUGGGCGUAAAGAGCGCGCAGGCGGUCGAUUUAGUCGCGUGUGAAAGCCCCCGGCUCAACUGGGGAGGGUCACGCGAUACUGAUCGACUCGAAGGCAGGAGAGGGUAGUGGAAUUCCCGGUGUAGUGGUGAAAUGCGUAGAUAUCGGGAGGAACACCAGUGGCGAAGGCGACUACCUGGCCUGUUCUUGACGCUGAGGCGCGAAAGCUAGGGGAGCAAACGGG
rnacentral:rRNA from 1 species